rnacentral:rRNA from 1 species
UACGUAGGUGGCAAGCGUUGUCCGGAAUUACUGGGCGUAAAGAGCGCGCAGGCGGCUGGGCAAGUCCGAUGUGAAAGCUCCCGGCUUAACUGGGAAAUUGCAUCGGAAACUGAUCGGCUUGAAGGUGGGAGAGGGUAGUGGAAUUCCCGGUGUAGUGGUGAAAUGCGUAGAUAUCUGGAGGAAUACCGGUGGCGAAGGCGGCACCCUGGACCGACAUUGACGCUGAUGAGCGAAAGCUAGGGGAGCAAACGGG